rnacentral:tRNA from 1 species
AGCUCAAUAGCUUUGUCAGUAAAGCACUAGUCUAUCAAAUUAUCAAAAUACAUCCACAUGCUCAGGUGGGAUUCGAACUCAUACAGGAGUCGUGAGUUCGAAUCCCACCUGAGCAC